AGGGAAAGAAAAAAAAAAGAAGAGAGAGGGAAGAGAGAAGGGAGAGAGAAGGGAGAGAAAAGGGAGGGGGAAAGGGGAAUCCGGCCAGGGGCCGGUCACCGGCUGACCGUCGGCCGCUGUCCGUCGCCGGCGUCGGCCACCGCUUGCGGUGGCUGGAAAAGGUGAUGGUGGCAGACAAUGGAUAUCAAAAAUGGGAGGAAAAAUGGGGCAAGUGGGAAAGUGGCUAGGUGGCUAGGGUUUCUUGAUUUUUUUUGGGGGGUUAGGUUUUUUUUGGGGGGGC